UCUAUCUUGGCCUGGAUCAUAGGGUGAGGUUGUGACCAUGACUGGGCUGUUUGGCCUGGAGGAUAAAAGUCUGCAGCAUCAAACCAGCACUUGAUGGUGUCAAAGCUCAUGACAGCCUGAGGAAAAAAAUAUAGGAGACCUUGCUGUACAGCUUCUAGGACUAUUUGGUAUAGCAAUUAAG
rnacentral:lncRNA from 1 species